UUGGUGUUAGCAUGUUCACUGCUGUGU
rnacentral:piRNA from 1 species